AUUCCCAUUGCCCAACCCGAAGACCCCUCCCACUUUAGCUGCCACUGGCACAUGUGUCAUCCGCACUGUUUUUGUCGUGCUUUCGUAGGGAUGACAGUGUGUGUUUAGUACUGGGAGGGUUACUUA
ensembl:ncRNA R03A10.10 ncRNA